UACGGAGGGUGCAAGCGUUAUCCGGAUUCACUGGGUUUAAAGGGUGCGUAGGUGGGCAGGUAAGUCAGUGGUGAAAUCUCCGGGCUUAACCCGGAAACUGCCAUUGAUACUAUCUGUCUUGAAUACCGUGGAAGUGAGCGGAAUAUGUCAUGUAGCGGUGAAAUGCUUAGAUAUGACAUAGAACACCAAUUGCGAAGGCAGCUCACUACACGAAUAUUGACACUGAGGCACGAAAGCGUGGGGAUCAAACAGG
rnacentral:rRNA from 1 species